rnacentral:rRNA from 1 species
UAGAGGUCUCAAGCGUUGUUCGGAUUCAUUGGGCGUAAAGGGUGUGUAGGUGGCGCGCUAAGUCGGGUGUGAAAUUUCGGAGCUUAACUCCGAAACUGCAUUCGAUACUGGCGUGCUUGAGGACUGGAGAGGAGACUGGAAUUCAUGGUGUAGCAGUGAAAUGCGUAGAGAUCAUGAGGAAGACCAGUGGCGAAGGCGGGUCUCUGGACAGUUCCUGACACUGAGACACGAAGGCCAGGGGAGCAAACGGG